UCUAGGAGCACUAGCAGCACUCUUCUCCCCAGUGCUGGAUGACAUCUAGGAGCACUAGCAGCACUCUUCUCCCCAGUGCUGGAGGACAUCUAGGAGCACUAGCAGCACUCUUCUCCCCAGUGCUGGAUGACAUCUAGGAGCACUAGCAGCACUCUUCUCCCCAGUGCUGGAUGACAUCUAGGAGCACUAGCAGCACUCUUCUCCCCAGUGCUGGAGGACAUCUAGGAGCACUAGCAGCACUCUUCUCCCCAGUGCUGGAUGACAUCUAGGAGCACUAGCAGCACUCUUCUCCCCAGUGCUGGAGGACAUCUAGGAGCACUAGCAGCACUCUUCUCCCCAGUGCUGGAUGACAUCUAGGAGCACUAGCAGCACUCUUCUCCCCAGUGCUGGAUGACAUCUAGGAGCACUAAGCAGCACUCUUCUCCCCAGUGUUGGAUGACAUCUAGGAGCACUAGCAGCACUCUUCUCCCCAGUGCUGGAUGACAUCUAGGAGCACUAGCAGCACUCUUCUCCCCAGUGCUGGAGGACAUCUAGGAGCACAGAGGCCCUCAGUCUUGCCUAACACACACACACUACAAUCAGCUGUUACAGGACUUCGACUGGACUAACACACACACAAACAUGCAUACACUUUCUAUCCUCCCGGGGACUUUUACUCCUGAAGGAUUGACACAACAAUUGUUCGACAUUUCUACCCUAUCGAUCGACAGUUGGAUGAAUGGACUCUACAAUUUGUGGCAGCCUCCCCAUUUAGGACAAAGAUCCGCAAACAUGGACCAUCCACCUGGGUGCUCAACGACUGCAGCCAUUUUGUGCCAGAAGAACCUGAAUGGGAUCCAGUGAGCAUGUCUGAGGUGUUAGACUUCAAAGUAGUCUGCUGUAUAAGGAGAGCUAUUUUCAAACCAAUGUUUUGUACAGAAUCAUUACUCUGUUGAAGUAGAAUUGUCAUUGACUUUUUUUGCACUGGUUCUCCCAGCUGUGAACGUAUGAGAAGCCAGCACUGCAUUCCACCUAUGUUAAUGGAAAUAGUUUGCCGCAACAUUGACUUUUGUUCGGCGGUAUUGUUUGUGAAAACUGAUUCAAUGUGGUCGAGAUCCCAUAUUUUAUGCCAUCUGUUUUGUAGGUACUAUUUGUGUGCAUUUGGAAGAAGCUGCAGGCCUGAAUCUCAAAUCAAUAUGAAAAAUAGGCACCAAUUGCUGUGAGGUUUAUAUGUUGCCAGUCUGUCUUUCCCAUUAAUAUGGGACCAAAGCUGAUUUAUACAAAUACAUACAGAAUGAUCAUAGUUUUUUGAUGGCAUAAAAUAUAAUAGUCAGGGGACUUUGUUACAUCAUUUUGGGAGGAAUCUUAGAUUUUUGGGAUGAACUACCCCUUUAAAUCUCCCAACCCUGUCAAUGAUUGACUGUACACGUGGCCAACUUUUUUCCUAAUGAAUGUAAUAAAAAAUAAAAAACUUGUACAGGGGGGAAACUAUUUAAAACUGUAGUGCUGUUUUUAUAUUUUGCUGUUUUUAAAUAAAGGUAGACUCGAGUCA